AUUGAACGCUGGCGGCAGGCUUAACACAUGCAAGUCGAACGAGUGGCGGACGGGUGAGUAAUGCUUGGGAAUCUAGCUUAUGGAGGGGGAUAACUACGGGAAACUGUAGCUACUACCGCGUACCAUAGGAUGAGCCCAAUUGGGAUUAGGUAGUUGGUGAGGUAAAGGCUCACCAAGCCGACUGUCUCUAGCUGGUCUGAGAGGAUGACCAGCCACCCUGGGACUGAGACACGGCCCAGCCGCCUACGGGAGGCAGCAGUGGUGAAUAUUGCGCAAGGGGUGCAACCUGAUGCAGCCAUGCCGCGUGUAUGAAGAAGGCCUUAGGGUUGUAAAGUUCUUUCGGUAGCGAGGCGUUAACUACAGAAGAAGCACCGGCUAACUCCGUGCCAGCAGCCGCGGUAAUAC
rnacentral:rRNA from 1 species